rnacentral:rRNA from 1 species
AUGGAGAAUGAGAGGAACAACCAGGCUCCACCCCUACCCCCAGGCUACUACCCAUCCGCGGCUGCGGAGCAACGUCAAGGCGGUGGCGGCGGCGGGAAGAAGUCGCGCCGGGGGAGCACCACCACCAGCAGGGGCGACAAGGGAUUCAUCCAAGGAUGCCUGGCGGCGCUGUGCUGCUGCUGGAUCUGCGAGAUGUGCUGCGACUAA